GACGUAUAAAGAGUCCUGCCUGCCCGGUGACGCUAAAGUUAAACGGCCGCGGUAUCUUGACCGUGCGAAGGUAGCAUAAUCAUUUGCCUUUUAAAUGGAGGCUGGUAUGAAUGGCAAGACGAGAAUCAGACUGUCUCCCUUUUAAUACUCCCUAAAUUCAUGUCCUUGUGAAGAAGCGAGGAUAGAGUCGUAGGACGAGAAGACCCUAUCGAGUUUUAGUAUAGGUCUUAAAUGUUAAAAAGUGGUAACAAAUCUGAUUAAGAUAAUCGAAUAUAUUAAUAAUUCCAUUUUGAAGAAUCACAUAAGUUAUAAGACUUAAUACUUUAAUUGGGGCAAUUGCGGAGAAAAAAAAUCCUCCGCUAUUUAUAAAAAAUAAAAAUUACUAUUUUACAAUAUAAAUUCUAAGUAUUGACCCGCUAGAAAUAGCGAUCAAAGGAAUAAAUUACCGUAGGGAUAACAGCGUAAUUCUCUUGAAGAGUUCAUAUUGAUAAGAGAGUUUGCGACCUCGAUGUUGGAUCGGGACAUCCUGGAAAUGCAGCAGUUUCCAAGGGUUGGUCUGUUCGA
rnacentral:rRNA from 1 species